rnacentral:rRNA from 1 species
AUGCCUGGCUUCUCCUCCGCCGCGUCAAUGUCGCCACUGCGCCUCCGCCUCCGCCUGCACGCCCGCCACUCCUCCUCCGCCUCGCAACCCUCACGCCGCCAGGGAUGGGAUCCCCACGCCGCCUUCGCCGCCGCCACGGAGUGUGCGCGCUCCGGCAACCUCACCCCGGAGGACGCACACCACCUGUUCGACGAAUUGCUGCGGCAGGGCAAUCCUGUCCUGGGGCGCCCCCUCAACAACCUUCUCGCCGCCCUCGCCCGCGCGCCGGCGUCCAGCGCCUGCAGAGAUGGCCCCGCACUCGCGGUCGCCCUCUUCAGCCGCAUAUCCCAAGGCGCCCGCCUAAGGGUGCUGCACCCAACGGCCUGCACCUACGGCAUCCUCAUGGAUUGCAGCUGCCGCGCACACCGCCUCAAUCUGGCGUUUGCCUUCUUCGGCCGUCUCCUCAGGACGGGACUGAAGGCAGGCGUCAUAGAAGUCAACAGUCUCCUCAAAGGACUCUGCCACGCAAAGCGGGCGGAUGAGGCCAUGGAAGUGCUUCUUCACAGGAUGCCUGAGCUGUUUAUAGGAGUACAGGGCACAGCUGUUUAUCGUUCCCUAAUCCAGGGAUUUUGUACACACGGCGAUUUGGUGAAAGCAAAGGAAUAUGUUACUGAAAUGAUGAAGAAAGGUAUGCCUCCUCCUGAUAUUAUGUUCUUCAGUUCAAUCAUGCAGAACCUAUGCACAGAAGGAAGGGUAAUAGAAGCACGAGAUAUCCUUGACUUGAUAGUGCGCAUUGGUAUGAGGCCUGAUGUUUUCAUAUUUAAUAUACUGAUCGGUGGAUACUGCCUAGUCGGCAAGAUGGAGGAUGCCUCAAAAAUAUUUGAUGAUAUGGUGUCAUAUGGUUUAGAACCUUGUAACUUUACGUAUGGUAUACUUAUUAAUGGCUAUUGCAAAAAUAAAAGGAUUGAUGACGGGCUUAUUCUGUUCAAAGAGAUGCUGCGCAAGGGACUUAAACCUACAACUUUUAAUUAUAACGUCAUACUGGAUGGAUUAUUUCUGGCUGGACAAACUGUUGCUGCAAAAGAGAAGUUUGAUGAGAUGGUUGAAUCUGGAGUAAGUGUGUGCAUUGAUACAUACUCUAUAGUUCUUGGUGGACUUUGUAGAAAUAGCUGCAGUAGCGAAGCGAUCACCCUGUUCCGAAAAUUAAGCGCAAUGAAUGUGAAAUUUAAUAUUACAAUUGUCAAUACCAUUAUUGGUGCCUUCUACAGGGUCGAGAGAAACCAAGAGGCUAAGGAUUUGUUUGCUGCUAUUCCAGCCAGUGGCUUGGUUCCUAAUGUUGUUACCUACACCAUAAUGAUUAAAAAUCUUAUAAAAGAAGGUUCAGUGGAAGAAGCUGACAAUCUUUUUUUAUCGAUGGAGAAGAGCGGCUGUAGUGCCAACUCUUAUCUGUUAAAUCAUAUCAUCAGAAGGUUACUGGAAAAAGGAGAGAUAGUCAAGGCUGGAAAUUAUAUGUCUAAAGUUGAUGCAAAGAGCUACUCCCUUGAAGCUAAAACUGUUUCACUGCUGAUCUCUCUGUUUUCAAGGAAAGGGAAAUAUAGAGAACACAUCAAAUUGCUCCCUACAAAGUAUCAGUUUCUGGAAGAAGCAGCCACAGUUGAAUAG